rnacentral:rRNA from 1 species
CCGCGGUAAAACGCGUUACUCCUACGGGAGGCAGCAGUGGGGAAUCUUGCACAAUGGGCGAAAGCCUGAUGCAGCGACGCCGCGUGGGGGAUGAAGCAUUUCGGUGUGUAAACCCCUUUCGACCGGGAAGCGGUACCGGUAUAAGAAGCCCCGGCUAACUAC